ensembl:lncRNA
AGGCGGCGAGACCACUGAGCUAAAUCCCGGCCCAGGUUUUGAUCUAUUGCAGUUGUCAUUUUCAUUGCAGUUCACAGUGUGCUGUCAUUGGCCAGGGCAGCAUCUUCAGGUUGGCUCCUGGGUCAUGUCAGGACAGGAUCCCAGGUCCUCACAUCUGGGAUGGUUCAGUGUUCAUCAUACACCUGUCCUGCUCCAGACCUCAAACCAGCCAUUCCUUCAGAAAGAACUGGUUUCUUCUAGUGGGAAAUGGCAUUGGCAGACCAUGGACUGGGCCUGGGGAGACUGGUUGUCACCAAAGGUUAGGCCUUUCCAGUGGACAGAGUUGGGAAAUGUGUAAACAUAAGACUUUGAGAGUUUCUGUGGAUGUUUCCAGUUCAGGCAAUUGUUCAGGGACACAGGGUUCCUUUGGGUCUUUGCUUCUCAUGUGGAGUUCUCUGAUUUCACCUCAUUUCUAAGUUCUGCCAAUUCUGGUUUAUGUUGUUCUUUAGUGUCCUUUAGCCACGGGAUAUUGCCGUUUUGAUCUGUUUCUGCCAGGAGCUUCCAUACGCCCUCCACAGCCCUGACCUCAGGAUUGUUUGUGUGGACGCUGGAGUGUGUCCCAUGUGGCCCUUUCCCCUAUCAGAUAGGGUCCCGUGAGCUCCUGGGCUAGGGCCUAGUCCAGCCCCUCUGGCUUCUGUCUGGCUGACCCCUUUCUUUGCUUGUAAGUCUGCUCAGGCAGUGGUAAAUCUAGCUGCCAUCCUUUCCAAUAAUUGUUUUUUGUAGUGCUUGGGAUGGAACCCAGGGCCUCAUGCAUGCUAGGCAGCCUCUCUACCAUUGAACUAGCCCCUUCCUUGUAUGCUGUACCCUAGCUGCCUUUCAUAUAUUUGUUGUUUUGCUCAGUGUAACCAAUUUCCCAGCCACUUUGGCUUUUGGGGUCCCUCUGUCAGCAGGAGAGAGUUAUUGGAAAGGCCAACUUUUGAGCUCAGUGGGGCCACGCUUGCCUGGCAAGUGCAAAGCCCUGAAUUUGAUCCCGGUACUGGGAAAAAAAAUUCAGAGUCACUCCAAAGAAUAGGAAAAAGUAUGCAUACUUCCAGCUAACAGGACUGACAGUGGAGUGAGGCUGGGAAGGGUGUAGGACAAAUGGAGGACGCAGAUGAGCAGGAAGAUGUAGGUUGUUGAAGGAAGCUACCAAAUGAAGAAGUCAUGUCAUUAAAGACUUCGGGUGAAGUUUUCUCAUGGUCCUUGGACUUCUAGGAGUACCCAGAGUUUAAAAGAGUUUCUCUGCUAGGAUAUUUCUGUGGGAUAGAAAGUUUUCUUGUCUGCUUUUAAUCUGUAUUUUGAACUUACAGAAAAGUUAAAAUAGUACAGAGUUUCCAAAUACCCCUCACUCUGUUCAUGUAAUGUUAAACAUUGAUGUGAUGCUGUUCACUGAGGACCUUAUUAGAUUUUUUUGGAUUUAAUUUUUAAAAAAUUGAUAAGCUUUGUUCUUUAGAGCAGUUUUAGGUUCACAUACAAAUGAAGAGAGGGCACAGAGUUCCUGUGUGAGCCCCUGCACCCCGCCAAGGGUGCAUCUGUGUUGCCCUGGAUGGCGCUGGCUUCUUGGUGCCCUGGUGCGGAUUCUGUGGGCUUAGAUGUGCAACAGCUGGCAGCCACUGGCACCGUCAUACAGAGCAGUCUCUCUGGCCCAGAGCUUCUCUGUGCUCCCCUUCCCCUAGCACUUGGCGACCUCUCACGUUUUACUGCCGCCAUAGUUGUGCACUUUUCCAGCGUGUCACUCAGCUGAGGGUCACAACACAGGUGGCCUCUUUCAUUCAGCAGUGUGCACAUAAGUUUCCUAAUUUCCUUUCCAUGGACUCCUGGCUUGUGCGUUCAUUUUAUUUUAGCAUGGACUAAUACUCCACUGUCUAGAUGUACAGGUUCAUCCAUUCACCUACUGCAGGGUGUCUUGCUUGCUUCUACGGUUUGAUAAUUAUGAAUGAGGCUACUGUAGACACUGUGUGCUCACGGCUUUUCAGGGGCCUUGGUAAUACCCAGGGGUCAGUACUGAGUCUUAUGGCGGAGGAUGUUCAGUUUGGUAAGACAUGGUCCAGCCAUCUUCCAAAACGCUGUGCGGAGGGAGGCAGGAGGAUUGCUGUGAGUUCAGGGUCAGCCUGGGCUCCAUAGCGAGACCCUGUCUCAAAAAACAAACAAAAAAAGCCAAAUGUCUGUGCCAUUUUGCCUUCCUGCAGGGCGUGAUGAGGAUUCUUUGCGGUGGGUACUCAUAGGUGUGCAGUGGUGUCUCUCUCACUGGUGCUUUGCAUUUCCCUGAUGACUGAUGUGGAGCAUCUUUUCACACGCGCAUCCCCCCUCUGUCGCCCAGGCCUUUUGGCUGCUUUUAAGAUUGAGUUGUUUUCUUUUUUUUGGUACCAGGGAUUGAACUCGGGUCCUUGUACUUGCUGGGCAGGCAGUGGAACCACUGAGCUAAAUCCCCGGCCCUGGGCUGUUUUCUUAUUGUUGAAUUUCAAGAGUUCUUUGUGUACAGUCUUUUGGAUGAGAGCCCUUUAUCAGAUAAGUCUUUUGCAAGUAUUUUCAUUGAUGUCUUACCACCUAGGAUCCCUCACGGGUUUGGUUGUCACAUCUUUGUCCCUUCCACUCUUAAUGGCUUCUAAGUCUUCCCUUGUUUUUCUUUAAAUAGGUAAAUUAGCUCAUUUGUCUUUAUUAAUAUUUGUGACACUGGGGAUUGAACCCAAGGGCUCGCGUGUGUGCUAGACAAGUGCGGCUCCCACUGAGCUACAUUCCCAGUCUCACCAAGGUGGGCAGGCUGGCCUUGAACUCACAGGCCUCAGCCUCCUGAGUAGCUGGGAUUCUGGCAUGCAGAGCACCAUGCUGGCUCUGAAACCUCCUUAACCUCCUGGCCAUGGUCCCCUCUGUUCCCCCUAACUGGAGGCUGACGCAGGCUGCCUUUCCUGCUGCCCCCACAGUCCCGGUGUCCCAGGCUUCCUCUAGUCUCCUGGAGCCCCUGUCGGUAGCCUUGGUGUGGGGACAGCAGGGUGACUGGCUGUCACGCUGUGUCCGCGCUUCCUUCACUAUGCUUGUUUUCGAUGCUAUUGCGUGCUGCCCUGCCUCAUGUCCUGGUUUAAGGCUGGGCACCAGAUUAUUCCUUUGCCUUCCUGAGUUACUCUCUCCUUUCCCCUGUGGCGGAGCCGUCCAGACCGCCCUGCACCUGGGGCUCUUGCAGUGGGCAGGGCUUCCUCAGCCCAGUGUCACUGCUGUGCCUUCCGUGUGUGUAGGCUCAGGCCUCCUUCCCUUGCUUCUCUGCCUUCUAUCCCUGUCAGCUUUUCCUGGUCUCAUUUUCUUUCUAGGGUUUCCUGUCUUGUUUACUUUGUCUCUUUUUCCUGGGGCCUAGUAAUUUACUCAUCUAGAGGAUAAUUUUGUCUCUUUCUCCACAUCUAUCGAGUUCAUUCAACUCUCAUCUCAAGUCUUCCUGGGGUUUUUGUUUUCUAAAUGUUUCCUAGGCUUGGGGCUUUUGAUUCAAGAUGAUUUUUUGUCCUUCAGUGGGAAGUUAAGUAUGUCUUCAUGCAGAGUGUCGCCUCAGGGUUGUCCUCUGUUCUGUCAAAGUGGAACUUGCUCUCAGACUUUCUGCAGUGAGUGUCUCUCCUGGAUUUGCUGGUCCGUCCAGUGUCUCUCUCUCUCAUUCUCUCUCUCUCUCUCUCUCUCUCUCUCUCUCUGUGUGUGUGCGCGCGCGCCUGCACCCCGCUUGGGCAUUUGGGUGCCUGUGAUGUCGUGGCGCCCUCUCCUGGCAGCAUUGUGAAGUCCAGGCUGCCAAGUUUGCUCGCAGCACUGGACUUGCAGAACCCUAACUUCUUUUGCUUCUCCCUCCCUCCUUCACCACACAGCCGUCAAGGGCUCUCCUAGGGACAUUUCAGUUUCCCUCUGCACACUCCUCAGGUCUGGCGCGGGACCCUUUCCUGCAGCCUGUGCUGGUGCCCUGUGUGUGCCCCAGCUUCCCAGGGUGCCUCUGCACCUCACUGCCUGCUGCCUCACUUGAAUUCAGCAGUGUCUGGCGGUACCCUGCUGGGGAGAGUGGUGGCUCUUCCCUCCCUUCGUGAGGUCAUUUUGGACGUGGGCAUCCCCGAGGCCUGUGUGAUGGCCAGGCCCCUGUGCACGUCUUCCCCUCAUUGCUCUCGGUUGUGAGAGGAUAGUAGGCAGCCGGUGCCAUCGUCAGCCUCUUGAGGUGAUGCCGUUUCUUUAGCUGAGUUUUGAGUGCUUUCGUAGCUCUUGAAAGGUCACACAGAUGCUCUGAGGGUGUGGAGCUCUCGCAGAGGGUGGGGGCAGCUCCAGGCAGGCUGCUCCGGCACCCCUGUCCUGGGUGCCACUGACCUGAACUGCUCCUCAGGCAGGGGCAGUCAGUCCAUGCAGGCGAGGACUCUUGACACCCUGGAGAGCUCCCAUCACUGCUUUCACUUUCCCAGAGAGAACUGCCUGUCCUUCAGCCCUGAAGACCGUGGGCCCUGAGCUGCACUUGCUGGCAUCUGGGUUGCAGCUGGUGGUGGUGUUUGUGCCGGGGCCUCUCUCAUCUCAGGUUUGUUUUGGGCUGUUGCUACAUAGCAGGCCACGUGCAGAGGCAGCAGAGGCAGGGCAGCAUCGCUCACCCUCAACCCUCAGCCUUUCUGCUGGGCCCCCAUGGCCACGAGGGGCUUUGGGUGAGCGGGAGUGUGUGUGUGUGUGUGUGUGUGUGUGUAUGUGUGUGCGUGCCCUGCCACACUCCUCCAGCAGUCUGUGGGCGACUGUUCCCACCUCGGCAGGUCCUGGGCUGUGUGUUAGGUUUGCUCACCGUGACCAGGACACCCACAAGCUCUGUGGUCGGAUUUGGGGACAGUGACUGCCAGCCCCUUCUUGGGGCAGAGUACAGCCAUGUGGUCAGAGUGAUUGCAGUACCAAGUAGGACACUGUGAGCAUGCACCUAUGUUUUUUGUAACUUGAGAGAAAUUUAUUUGUGUUUGUGAAAACCCACAGAGCCAUGGGGAUCUGUGGCUUAUAAACAUGCAGUGGCCAUCUCCAUCCACCCCCCUUCCCCCCCCACCCGAGCCUGACACAGAAAGGGCAAGCACCAGGCUGCACAUGGCUGGGCAGAGCUUGCUGUACCCUGGGCUGGUGCUGACACUGGCUCUUCAGCGAGUUUUGGGCACCAAUUUUGAUAUUAUUUAUCUUGAUUCUGACUUUUAGCAUCCCUUAAAUUUUGAGCCUGAGGCGAACACCCUGCCCUCAUGUCAACUUUGGUUUCGGCCACUGAUCCUGAAAGUAGAGACAUGAAAUACAGCCCAUUCUGCUGGCAGCUCAUGGAUGCCCGCCUGCUGCCAGGUGGAGUCUCCUGGGGCCUGCCCACGUGCCCCGCUGCAACUGCCUGAGCUUCCUUUCACCACCUCCUGGUUGAGCAGAUGGGUUUGUAACUGGCAGCAAGAGUGGAAGCCACAUCUGUAAACGGAGGCCGGGGUAGAGCCUAGCCCGGUCAGCAUGCUGAGGAGGCCCUGCCGCUCCGGUGCCUGUGCAGUCUGGCGUCCUCCGGACCCCGGGGAAAAGAGGCCGCCUUCCUCCCACUGCGCUGUCGCCGGCCCCCUUCCCUCCUGGCUUUUUUUCUUCCAGAAACUGGCUUAUAGCUGUGUCCAGAGCAUCAGGUGCCCCUCGGGAGAAGCCCACACUUCUGCCGGCUGGGCUGUGGCCCCGGGUGGCUUCGUGGAGAUGAACUGUUUCCUUCGUCCCUUCUGACUGCUUAUUCUCACCCCAGCCUUCCAAGGGCUCAGCCUGUCUCUGCGCAAAAUGUGCUCUGCAGAGGCUGUCCGGGAGUCUGAAGGACGCUGCCGAGAAAGCCCUAGGAGCUCGCUCACACAAGAGGAAGUGGCCAUGAAGGUGGUGUGGUGGGAGACCACUGACGACUGACUGCCCAGGCUGGCCGCUCAGAGUGAGCGCACCUCUGCUCCGCCUGUCCAGGCGCAUAAGGAAGCGGCCCCAGUCCGCACCUUCCCCGCUCCGCACCGCGCCCGCCGUGUGCCCACAGGGUGGAUGCAGCGGGACAGACCUCCGUCCGGCCUCAUCUGUCUGUCGCUGGCGGCCGUGGGCUCCUGCAGCGAGCGCUCGCUCCUCACUUCCUCAAGGGUGGUUGUUACGUCAGCUCCUUAAGCCCUGACAGAGAACGCACAGGAAAAGUGUCGCUGCCAUGUGUGCUCCUGGACAGCCAGCCGCAGGCCCUAUCGCCACCGGGACACAGGCACUAGUUCCCUCUGCCACAUGGAAGCGUGAGCCGCCGUUGGGACUCCGGGACGGACGUGGUGAUGUGAUAGAGCCACAGACCCUGCUGCCUAGCCAUGACCCUGCAUUCCGCACGUCCGGCCCCAGCAGCUCCGCCCUCAGUGGCAGGAAGGCAUCCAGCUGGCUUGCGGGAUGGCCGCCUGCCUCGGGGCUGGGUAUCUGUGCAGUGGGGUCACUGUUGUAACCGCUGAGCAGUGGGCCUCCACAGCUGGCCGCCAGUCCGCCCAGCCCAGGAGUUGAGACCUAGUGUCCUUACUGGCCACGCAGGGAUGACACAGCCAGGUGUGGAUCGGGCAUGGGCCUCGGUCUCCUCACCUGAGCCCUCGGGCAGCCUUGCUGGUCACACAGAGGUCGGCCGGCUGCACACCCCGGAGUUGUCCAGCUGCUUACCUGGGGCGUGAGCCCCCGCUUGUCUGCCCGCGUGUCCAGGCCAGAGUGUGAGCUGUGUGGGGCCUCGAAGGGUGGUGGUCUGAGUGUGCCCUAGAGUGGGGGCCUGCUGCCCUCGCCCCGCUAGGGACUCGGACCACACACCAGCCCAAGCCGUAGCCUGUUGGAAGGAGCCUGUGCCAUGCCAGCUUCCUCCAGAAUCGGGGUCCUUGGGACACAUUUGGGGGACACUUGAGUUGCCCCUUCCUUCCCUACUUUCUGCAGCCCACCUCUGAGCGCCACUAAUGCAACUGUCUUCUCCUUUCUCGUCACCAGGGCUCGGGCCCAGGCGCGCGGCAGUCCCAGGCAGCUCCGGCGUGGCAACCCCCAGACAGUUCACGCGGCAAAGAAUCACGCUGGUCAACCUCAGGGACCUCAUAUUUUGUUUAGAAAAUGAGCGCGAGACAAGCCAUUCACUGUUGCUCUACAAAGCAUUCCUUAAGUGACACAGGAGGGAGCACGGUGUUUUUGACGAGACGCCUGGGGACAUUUUUAUAUAUUUGCAGAUUACGCCUUUUUGUAAGAAGCAAAUGGGAUAUUGUUUAAAAACAGCCACUUCUUUACAAUGGAACAGUUUUAUAUUCCCGUUUCUAAAUCAGCUCAGUGUGGAAGAAAACCUGUUUCUGCAGCAGAGAGAAUACAGAGGCCUGUGGAUACUCCUAAAGGACAACUAAACCCGAGCUCAUCCUUGAUUGAGUGGCCUUCUUGCCAAACAAGCCAUAUAUAAAGACUGAUGGAAUCGCUUAGCAAAUAACUCGCUGCGCUCUGUCACCGUGUAGCAGUUUCUACCUUAUUUGUGCGUUUUGGUUUAGUUGAGCCUAACUUACUGCGUAGGUGUGUGUCUGCAGCCGAUGACCUCCUUUCACUUAUUUUAUUUUUGUAAUAGUCAGUUGGCAAAGCAAACUGAUUUUUAGACUAUUUAUCUCCCUUCCUUCCCCUCCCCUCCCCUCAAAACUCUCCAGGAACACACAGUUCAUUGCAGCUCCGUCACCUUGGAGGGUGACCGCAUUUCUGCUCGGUGGAGGCUGGGAGUCCAGCCGGGGCGGGCUCCUCUGAAUGUGCUCAGCAUCUGUACAAAUGCAUUUUGUUUGCUACAGUUUGUGAAGCUGUAAAGUUAAGAGAAAUGAGAACCUUUUCAGCAUAAAUAUAUUUUACUUGCACUGUGUUUUUUAGCUACAAGUGAAAACUUAGAUUAAAUAAAAUCAGAGUUGAGAAGAAUCAUCAAGAGACUGUUUCUCAGUGUGAAUCAAGUGUUGAAAAAUGGUUGGUGUAUUUUGUCAGUAAUUGUACAUAACUUUUGGCACAUAACAUAAAAUGGCUAUGUAAACUAUAAUUAUUUUGCUAAGAGACUGUAUGCAAGCUGUGGGCCGACUUUACAGACGCCCAGAGCAAAGCCCCUUCUUUGUACCUAUUUUUUUAUUACAAAUAUACUAAUUGGUUCUUUAUAUUUUCAGAGGUUAUUGUAUUAAAUUGUCUAUUGAUAGUACUUUUAUGAUUGUAAAUACUUGGCUUUCUCCGUGUGAAUUCUCACAUUAGACUUUAAUUCGCGCGUGUGAACUGAACACUGAUCAGUAUUUUUUAUCAACACCUGAGAACUGUUACACCUUUUAUUUUAUCUUUUAGAAAAUCCCUGUCUUUCCAUUUUUUCAUGUAAAUUUUGCACAGUUACUUGUUCAUAUGUAAAUAUUUUACUUUCAAAAAAUGAAGUUUUUAAUUGCUAUUGUUUUAUAGAG